UCUCAAGGUCAGGGCUCCAAAACCAACCC
rnacentral:piRNA from 1 species